AUUGAACGCUGGCGGCAGGCCUAACACAUGCAAGUCGAGCGAGCGGCGGACGGGUGUGUAAUGUAGGGGAAUCUCCCCUAUGGAGGGGGAUAACUCCUGGAAACGGUGGCUAAUACCGCAUACUAUCCACUUAACCCAUGUUGCAUUAGCUAGUAGGUAGGGUAAAGGCUUACCAAGGCGACGAUCCCUAACUGGUCUGAGAGGAUGAUCGGCCACACUGGAACUGAGACACGGCCCAGACUCCUACGGGAGGCAGCAGUGGGGAAUAUUGCACAAUGGGCGCAAGCCUGAUGCAGCCACGCCGCGUGUAUGAAGAAGGCCUUAGGGUUGUAAAGUACUGUUAGCGGGGAGGCGGUACCCGCAGAAAAAGCAACGGCUAACUACGUGCCAGCAGCCGCGGUAAUAC
rnacentral:rRNA from 1 species